rnacentral:rRNA from 1 species
AACGAACGCUGGCGGCAUGCCUAACACAUGCAAGUCGAACGAGACCUUCGGGUCUAGCGGCGCACGGGUGCGUAACGCGUGGGAACCUGCCCUUAGGCUCGGAAUAACUCCCCGAAAGGGGUGCUAAUACCGGAUAAUGUCUUCGGACAAAAGAUUUAUCGUCCUUGUAUGGGCCCGCGUUGGUCUAACUAGUUGGUAGGGUAAAAGCCUACCAAGGCGACGAUCCAUAGCUGGUCUGAGAGGAUGAUCAGCCACACUGGGACUGGGACACGGCGCAGACUCCUGCGCGAGGCAGCAGUGCGUGAUAUAGGACUAUGGGCGGAAGCCUGAACCAGCUAUGCCGCGUGAGUGAUGAUGGCCUUAGAGUUGUAAAGCUCGUUUACCCGGGAUGGUAAUGACGGUACCGAGAGAAUAAGCACCGGCUAACUCCGUG